rnacentral:rRNA from 1 species
UACGGAGGGAGCUAGCGUUGUUCGGAUAUACUGGGCGUAAAGCGCACGUAGGCGGAUCUUUAAGUCAGGGGUGAAAUCCCAAGGCUCAACCUUGGAACUGCCUUUGAUACUGGGGAUCUCGAGUCCGGAAGAGGUGAGUGGAACUGCGAGUGUAGAGGUGAAAUUCGUAGAUAUUCGCAAGAACACCAGUGGCGAAGGCGGCUCACUGGUCCGGUACUGACGCUGAGACGCGAAAGCGUGGGGAGCGAACAGG